rnacentral:tRNA from 2 species
GGUCCUGUGUCCGAACGGCCAGGUGCUCGACUGCAAAUCGAGCUAUUCGGGUUCGAAUCCCGACGGGACCU